UUUAGGAGCGGCCGAUGUCAGAUUAGCUAGUUGGUGAGGUAAAGGCUCACCAAGGCGACGAUCCGUAGCGGGUCUGAGAGGAUGAUCCGCCACACUGGGACUGAGACACGGCCCACACUCCUACGGGAGGCAGCAGUGGGGAAUUUUGGACAAUGGGCGCAAGCCUGAUCCAGCCAUGCCGCGUGAGUGAAGAAGGCCUUCGGGUUGUAAAGCUCUUUCGGUGGGGAAGAAAUUGC
rnacentral:rRNA from 1 species